ensembl:lncRNA
AGUUUUCUGGGUAGAGAUUGUACCUUUCUUGGGCUGUUGCUGAAAGGGGAAGUAACAUCAACUGCCCUGAUAAAAUUCUUUUACAUCUCUGAUUCAAUGCUGAUUCACUGAUGCCCUAGGUCCAGGGAAAACUGCUGUAAAUCAUUCAAAUCGGAGAGAAAAGAACUCUAGUGUUUAAGAUUGUUAAUGAAGAUGUUAAAUAAACAGGACCAAACAGUGAUCCCUGCAGAGCUCCACAAGACACCUCCCACCAAUUUGAUGCAUUGCCAUUUUUCAUUACCCUUUAUUUGCACUCAGCCAGCCAUUUUUAAAUCCAAGAGACAGUACUCUAUGUCCAAGCCAAUUUGAAUUAAUUUUGCAAGUAAAGAUCUUGUAAGACACUACAUCAAGUGUUUUACUCAGACCAGAUAUAUUACACAUGCUUUCAUCCACUAAUUUUCUAAAGCUAUCAGAAAAAGCAAUCAAGCUUCGGAGAUUGUUAUUGCACCCAGCCAACUUUUUGCUUGUCUGUUCACUUACAAAGCCAAUUCUGGUAUUAUUAAAGAAUUGCCACUCCUUUAGCUGAUGACUGAUUUAAAGUGUAUUUUUCUAAUCUAUUACCUUUCCAAAAUAUAAUACAGUACUGAUUAUUCUUCCUUACUUUUACUUUAGGGUUAUAUGGCAUGUAGAUUUGCUUUGAUUGACAGAUUGGUCUUUUUCUUUAAAAGAACCAGUGAUUUCAGUAGGUUUGGUUAUGUUUAUUUUACGUGUUUCCAGCUGUUAGACUGUAUAAGCAGUUAUUCCUUAUUCUCAAUAUGAAGGCAAGUAGGUCCUUCAACAUCUCUUUAAUUAUAUCAGCAAAGCAGCAUCAGACUGGCAGAAGGGGACAAAAAUGUCAGGACUAGUUCUAGCCAUAUCAGAUUUAUUUCUUUUCACAGCCAGAGAAACAUGCCAGUUAAGAUAAAAACUUUCUCCCUGUUUAACACAUUCCUCUCCUCUGUUUUCUUGAGUACUCAUGGUAUAAAUUUUACUCAAAACUUCUUGUCAGGAUUUAGCCUUUUCUUCUUGUGGCAUAUACAUUCCUUAUUCUUCUGUCUCCUUUCCUUUAAUACCUAUGCCCUUGCUAACAACCUCUUUCUGUAGUAGUAGAAGGAUGUGUUUCAGAUGUGGUCUGGGGAACAGGGAAACUUUGGCGACUUGCUUCAUUUUGCAAGUGGAUUCUUUAGUAUAAAUGGGAAGGCUUCAGGUAUACUGAAGGCUUUGUCUACAAUGCCUAGCCAAUAUGCUGAAUACAAAACUAUUCCUUGAUAGAUACCCUUAUUUACUCGUUCUUGCCGGUAUCAUUCAAAUAGAGCCCCUGGUGAUCUCCUUAGGUGGGGCCUGGUUCUUCUUGUUUGCCAUGUUUUUACUGAAAUGGGUCCAAAAAUUUAGUGUUGUGUUUCUCAAAAUAUAUGAGCAGUCUCCCUGUUCAUGAUAAAAAUUUCAAAC